UCACAGCGUACUUUUGUGGACAAAUCUGUGAAAAAUUUUUAAUUCACCGGAAUUGUGUGGGAGCACCCAAGGUUCAGCUCCACAGGUGUCAAUACCGUCCACCUCACUCAAAACCCUCCCCAUCCCUAACACAACCCAACUGUCACACCAACAAACCCUGCUUUCGAAAUUCCAUCAUACUUAUAUAUACCGAUCAUACAAACGCAACGUCAACAUCAUCAAGUCUACUCCCACAUAACCAUCGUUAUCAUCUACUACGUUUGAUUACCUGCCAUUCAACCGCAUAAACCAACUCACACUUUCGUCUUCACUGUGGAACCAUCAUUAUUCAAACGAUAACACAUUCAAUUGCAGAAAUCUGCUACCGUUUUAAAGGACACAUCUCCGACCAAAUUGCAGUAUACACACAUUGUGCUUAGAUGCACUCUCGUGUAACAUUGCUACAGAUCUAUUAAAGCAGAGGGAUAACCUGGCGUUGGGGAAACCUGCCAACCUACUCAAAUCUCAAAAAAAAAAAAAAA